AAGGGAGGAGACUGUGCAAAUGGAACGCUGAGACCACGUUAGGCUUAAGUCUCAGAGGAGGUCUCAAAACUCUGUUGCACAAGGGGGUUCAGCCAUAAGAGCUCGGCGUUCACUGACCCUUCUAGCCAACGUGAUUGCAGCUAAGAGGAGCCUUGAGGGAAGGGGGGUAUAAAGAGCAUCCCAAAAGCAGCUCUUGCAAGAACGAUGUUGAGAUCCCAGGCAGGAGGGGGUUCUCAGACGGGUGGGUCAGUGUGCAACAAUCCCUUCAAGGAUCUUUAUACCAUGGGAAGAGAGAGCACCAGGUUCCAUACGGACAUUGCUGGUACUGGAGUGGUCGUCAGUGCCAAGUCUUUAUUUGACACAGAGUUCCAGUCCAUACUGGUCUUUGGAGUCAUGCCAGCUGGUCGGGGCACUCGUAGGGGAGGACUUUACAGGGACCUGAUCAGAGGUCGAUCUUCUCUCAUCUGGGUCCGAGGUUGCCUGCAUGCAUUUGUCCAUCAGGUGAAGCUCAAGGCAGGCGUCCCCAUAAUCCCACGUCCAUGGAGAGACUGUUCAGCGAACAGAACGCCAGUCUGGAAUAUGGCCCAGUGGUUAGGAGAUUAGCCUAGGACUUGAGACCUGGAUUCCAUUCCCUGCCAUGCCACAGACUCCCUGUGUGACCUUAGGCAAGUCACUUAGUCUCUUUGUGCCUCAGUUCCCCAUCUGUGAAACGGGGAUGACAGUGUAGCCCAGCCUCACAGGGCAGUUGUGAGGAUAAAUACCCACAGAUUGCGAGCUGCUCAAGUACUAUGAUGAUGGGCACUUUAUAAGUACCUAAGUUAGCUAGACUCACAAUAAAGGCAAAAAAGACAACAGUUGUGGCAGUCAAUGAAAGGGAUUAAGCCACUGCAAGACAGGCAAGGCUUAGAGCCCACAGGCACCAAGCGAAACAAAAGGUUUAGUGAUUCUGAAUUAAAAGGAGAAAAAUAAUAAGGGGGGAGAAAACGGAUUCCAAUCGGACUCAGAAUCAGAGAAAAAAGGGCUAAGAGAUAGUGGGUCAAACAUCUCUAAUUCCGUCUCACUGCCACGGGUGGAAAGAGGGAACAGAGGGACAGUAGUGGUCACCAUGCCCUUGAUGUCCUUGGAUUUGGGGGGUGGGGAACCAUGAGGACAUGCGUGGCACAGACGUAGCCCAGUGGACACUGCUAUUCAAAAGAUUCAGAUGUUGCGUGCGUGAGGCUCACACAUACCUAGAGUGGGAUCCACACUGACACUUGAACAUGGAUUUUUGUCUAGGGAAGAGAUUUCCCCCCCCCCUAUUAGGGCUCUGUUGCUUUUUACAGAACGACUCUCUGGCAAAUCCAUUCAGUGAACUUAUAGGGAAAACGCAA